rnacentral:rRNA from 1 species
AGCGAACGUUAGCGGCGCGCCUAACACAUGCAAGUCGCACGAGAAAGGGGGCAACCCCCGGUACAGUGGCGCACGGGUGAGUAACACGUGGAUUACCUUCCCUGGAGUGGUGGAUAACCUGCCGAAAGGUGGGCUAAUACAGCAUGAGACCACGUAGUUUCGACUAUGAGGUCAAAGCGGGCUUCUGUUUACAUGCUCGCGCUCUAGGAUGGGUCCGCGGCCCAUCAGCUAGUUGGUAGGGUAACGGCCUACCAAGGCAACGACGGGUAGCUGGUCUGAGAGGAUGAUCAGCCACACUGGAACUGAGACACGGUCCAGACUCCUACGGGAGGCAGCAGUGGGGAAUCUUGCGCAAUGGGCGAAAGCCUGACGCAGCGACGCCGCG